CCCCCUCCUCUCUGUCUCCCCCUCUUCUGUCAGUGCUAGGGUGUAGCUGCUGAUCCCAUGGUACAGCAGCGAGAGAGAGAGAGAGUGAAAGGGAGGAGGAGGAGGGACAUCAGGUGUCACAGAUCUGCAACCCCAGUUGAAGCUGCAUUACCACGACAACCAACUCCGGGGGUGCCUCCAGCUCUCUGCCUUGGCCAGUCCAGGACCCAAAUGCACGGCCAGCACCACGUCCAGCUACCCACCCACCCACCCAUCCAUCCGCCCAAACAGCCAGCCCAGCCCUGCGCAGAACUGGCAACUCGCAGGAGUCAUCAGGCUGCCACAGAUGUAGCGAAGAUUAGGAGAGAGAAGAAGAGGCAUAGCUGACUCUGUGCACCCAGGGAGGAUGCAAUGAGGUGGAACUGCCUCUCAGCUUCCCACUGGAAAAAAAAAACUUUACCCAUCAGAGCGCCAUCUGCUGACACGGACACGGUGGGGCGGGACAGCUGGUGUUGUGAAUCAGGCCGCCACAGUCCAGGGACCGGCUACUUCCCAACACCAGGGUCUCACCAUCACCCCUCACAUCUCAUUCUGCGUGUAUUUGUCAGCUAAUGUUCUAGUUUGGUUGUUGUUGUAGUCUCUUACAUUUGUUCAUGUUGUUACUUGUUUGUUUUUUGUAAAAACUACUUCUCACUUGACUGAAAGUAAAAUUGCCUGUGUUGUAAAUUACACACUAUAAUACCUGGAAAAAAUACAACAAAAAACCCAGUUGAAGUGCCAUUGUGAGAGUAAAUCUUCCAAAAAAUAUGGAAAAAAUGAGACUAUAAAUUAUCUGUCGUUUUAGUAGGGUAAUUAAAUAAAGUCGUCAAAAUAUGUCUGAGAACAUUUGUCAGUUUUUUUGUUGUUGUCCCAAUUAUAAUUUGUAAGCAAAAUGUCAGAGUUGCCAAUACUCCUCACUAGUUCCAUCCAUAUUAAAUAGGAAUCAAACAGUAAUGGGAUCCCACAGGGCUCUAUUUUGGGGCCUUUAUAUUUGACUUUUUGACCUGUCCAGGUUGUACCCUGCCUCACGAUCUGAAAGUUUCAGUGAUGUAAAUAAACUUAAUUUAUGACUGGACAUCUGGACAUUUAUGGUUUUGUGUGAUAAGCCCAAGGAAAGGGCUUACUGUGGUGCCAGCGCUCUUGAACUUUAGUGCACACUGACUGAAUCACAUAAGCCCCAACACAUGUGAAACUUAACAUUAUAAAAUGUGAUGAAUAUAUGGCACAUCAGUUUUACCUCCUUCUUAUUAAUCUGCAUCCAUCAUUAUGCUGCAUUCAUCUCGUUUCCCCGUUUCAAGAGAUGCAUGAUCUACUUGAAAACUAUGCACAAAAUACAUAGCAUACCUUUUUCAGACAUCUGCAUGAAUAGCUGGCACAAGUGUGGUUGAUGGAAAGAAGUAUAUAAAACACCUCUAAAACUAAGCCCCGCUUUCAGGAUGCUAUAGCCAUAAUUGGGCAUUUUCAGUCAAUUCAGAAAAGAACUACGUAGAAUGCACUCCACACACACACAGUUUGAUGCAGUGCCGGUCUCAGCUUUUUUUAAGCACACCUCUCCCGCCUCACUAAAAAAACGGAAAGAAGACUGUCAUCAGUCCAAACGCCACCAGCUGUGUUCUCACCUGCCUCCCCAGCACCACCCCGUUGAGCCCACUGCACCACUCCUC